UACACACAUUACAUAAAUACAGUCUACACUCUGCUACCAGUCUACACUCUGCUACCAGACAUAUCUAUACAGACUACACUCUGCUACCAGACAUAUCUAUACAGACUACACUCUUCUACCAGACAUAUCUAUACAGUCUACACUCUGCUACCAGUCUACACUCUGCUACCAGACUUAUCUAUACAGUCUACACUCUGCUACCAGACAUAUCUAUACAGUCUACACUCUGCUACCAGACAUAUCUAUACAGUCUACACUCUGCUACCAGACAUAUCUAUAGUCUACACUCUGCUACCAGACAUAUCUAUACAGUCUACACUCUGCUACCAGACAUAUCUAUACAGUCUACACUCUGCUACCAGUCAUAUCUAUACAGUCUACACUCUGCUACCAGACAUAUCUAUACAGUCUACACUCUGCUACCAGACAUAUCUAUACAGUCUACACUCUGCUACCAGUCAUAUCUAUACAGUCUACACUCUGCUACCAGACAUAUCUAUACAGUCUACACUCUGCUACCAGACAUAUCUAUACAGUCUACACUCUGCUGCCAGUCUACACUCUGCUACCAGACAUAUCUAUACAGUCUACACUCUGCUACCAGACAUAUCUCUACAGUCUACACUCUGCUACCAGACAUAUCUAUACAAUCUACACUCUGCUACCAGACAUAUCUCUACAGUCUACACUCUGCUACCAGACAUAUCUAUACAGUCUACACUCUGCUACCAGACAUAUCUAUACAGUCUACACUCUGCUACCAGACAUAUCUAUACAGUCUACACUCUGCUACCAGACAUAUCUAUACAGUCUACACUCUGCUACCAGUCAUAUCUAUACAGUCUACGCUCUGCUACCAGACAUAUCUAUACAGUCUACACUCUGCUACCAGACAUAUCUAUACAGUCUGCACUCUGCUACGAGGCAUAUCUAUACAGUCUACACUCUGCUACCAGUCUACACUCUGCUACCAGUCAUAUCUAUACAGUCUACACUCUGCUACCAGACAUAUCUAUACAGUCUACACUCUGCUACCAGUCAUAUCUAUACAGUCUACACUCUGCUACCAGACAUAUCUAUACAGUCUACACUCUGCUACCAGACUACACUCUGCUACCAGACAUAUCUAUACAGACUACACUCUGCUACCAGUCAUAUCUAUACGGUCUACACUCUGCUACCAGACAUAUCUAUACAGUCUACACUCUUCUACCAGUCAUAUCUAUACAGUUUACACUCUGCUACCAGACAUAUCUAUACAGUCUACACUCUGCUACCAGACAUAUCUAUACAGACUACACUCUGCUACCAGACAUAUCUAUACAGACUACACUCUGCUACCAGACAUAUCUAUACAGUCUACACUCUGCUACCAGUCUACACUCUGCUACCAGACAUAUCUCUACAGUCUACACUCUGCUACCAGACAUAUCUAUACAGACUACACUCUGCUACCAGACAUAUCUAUACAGUCUACACUCUGCUACCAGACAUAUCUAUACAGUCUACACUCUGCUGCCAGUCUACACUCUGCUACCAGACAUAUCUAUACAGUCUACACUCUGCUACCAGUCAUAUCUAUACAGUCUACACUCUGCUACCAGACAUAUCUAUACAGACUACACUCUGCUACCAGACAUAUCUACACAGACUACACUCUGCUACCAGACAUAUCUAUACAGUCUACACUCUGCUACCAGUCUACACUCUGCUACCAGACAUAUCUAUACAGUCUACACUCUGCUACCCGACAUAUCUAUACAGUCUUCACUCUGCUACCAGACAUAUCUAUACAGACUACACUCUGCUACCAGUCUACACUCUGCUACCAGUCAUAUCUAUACAGUCUACACUCUGCUACCAGACAUAUCUAUACAGUCUACACUCUGCUACCAGACAUAUCUAUACAGUCUACACUCUGCUGCCAGUCUACACUCUGCUACCAGACAUAUCUAUACAGUCUACACUCUGCUACCGGUCAUAUCUAUACAGUUUACACUCUGCUACCAGACAUAUCUAUACAGUCUACACUCUGCUACCAGACAUAUCUACACAGACUACACUCUGCUACCAGACAUAUCUAUACAGACUACACUCUGCUACCAGACAUAUCUAUACAGUCUACACUCUGCUACCAGUCUACACUCUGCUACCAGACAUAUCUAUACAGUCUACACUCUGCUACCCGACAUAUCUAUACAGUCUUCACUCUGCUACCAGACAUAUCUAUACAGACUACACUCUGCUACCAGUCUACACUCUGCUACCAGUCAUAUCUAUACAGUCUACACUCUGCUACCAGACAUAUCUAUACAGUCUACACUCUGCUACCAGACAUAUCUAUAUAGUCUACACUCUGCUGCCAGUCUACACUCUGCUACCAGACAUAUCUAUACAGUCUACACUCCACUACCGGUCAUAUCUAUACAGUUUACACUCUGCUACCAGACAUAUCUAUACAGUCUACACUCUGCUACCAGACAUAUCUACACAGACUACACUCUGCUACCAGACAUAUCUAUACAGACUACACUCUGCUACCAGACAUAUCUAUACAGUCUACACUCUGCUACCAGUCUACACUCUGCUACCAGACAUAUCUCUACAGUCUACACUCUGCUACCAGACAUAUCUAUACAGACUACACUCUGCUACCAGACAUAUCUAUACAGUCUACACUCUGCUACCAGACAUAUCUAUACAGUCUACACUCUGCUACCAGACAUGUCUAUACAGACUACACUCUGCUACCAGUCAUAUCUAUACAGUCUACACUCUGCUACCAGACAUAUCUAUACAGUCUACACUCUGCUACCAGUCGUAUCUAUACAGUCUACACUCUGCUACCAGACAGAUCUAUACAGACUACACUCUGCUACCAGACAUAUCUACACAGACUACACUCUGCUACCAGACAUAUCUAUACAGUCUACACUCUGCUACCAGUCUACACUCUGCUACCAGACAUAUCUAUACAGUCUACACUCUGCUACCAGACAUAUCUAUACAGACUACAUUCUGCUACCAGACAUAUCUAUACAGUCUACACUCUGCUACCAGACAUAUCUAUACAGUCUACACUCUGCUACCAGUCUACACUCUGCUACCAGACAUAUCUAUACAGUCUACACUCUGCUACCAGUCAUAUCUAUACAGUCUACACUCUGCUACCAGACAUAUCUAUACAGUCUACACUCUGCUACCAGACAUAUCUAUACAGACUACACUCUGCUACCAGACAUAUCUAUACAGUCUACACUCUGCUACCAGACAUAUCUAUACAGACUACACUCUGCUACCAGACAUAUCUACACAGAAUACACUCUGCUACCAGUCAUAUCUAUACACAGUCUCCUAUAUGACCAGAACGUACGUACAUGUGUGUGUGUGUGUGUCUGUGUGUGUGUAGUGUGUGUGUGUGUAGUGUGUGUGUGUGACUGA
ensembl:lncRNA